GACGAACGCUGGCGGCGUGCUUAACACAUGCAAGUCGAACGGAAAGGCCCUGCUUUUGUGGGGUGCUCGAGUGGCGAACGGGUGAGUAACACGUGAGUAACCUGCCCUUGUCUUUGGGAUAACUUCAGGAAACUGGGGCUAAUACCGGAUAGGAGCUCCUGCUGCAUGGUGGGGGUUGGAAAGUUUCGGCGGUUGGGGAUGGACUGGCGGCUUAUCAGCUUGUUGGUGGGGUAGUUGCUUACCAAGGGUUUGACGGGUAGCCGGCCUGUGAGGGUGACCGGGCACAUUGGGACUGAGAGACGGCCCAGACUGCAACGGGAGGCAGCAGUGGGGAAUAUUGCAGAAUGGGGGGAAGCCUGAUGCAGCAACGCCGCGUGCGGGAUGACGGCCUUCGGGUUGUAAACCGCUUUCGACUGUGACGAAGAGUGAGUGACGGUAAUGGGUAAAGAAGCACCGGCUAACUACGUG
rnacentral:rRNA from 1 species